GCAUAUCAAUAAGCGGAGGAAAAGAAACCAACAGGGAUUGCCUUAGUAACGGCGAGUGAAGCGGCAAAAGCUCAAAUUUGAAAUCGGCCAUCAGGUCGAGUUGUAAUUUGUAGAUUGUACUUUGAGAGCGGAUUAAAGUCUGUUGGAACACAGCGCCUUAGAGGGUGACAGCCCCGUAAAAUCUAUUCUCAUUGUAAGGUACUUUCGAAGAGUCGAGUUGUUUGGGAAUGCAGCUCUAAGUGGGAGGUAAAUUCCUUCUAAAGCUAAAUAUUGACGAGAGACCGAUAGCGAACAAGUACUGUGAAGGAAAGAUGAAAAGCACUUUGAAAAGAGAGUGAAAAAGUACGUGAAAUUGUUAAAAGGGAAGGGUAUUGAAUCAGACGUGGUGCUGUUGUUCAACUUUGUUUCGGCAUGGUGUACUCAGCAGUACUAGGCCAAGGUGGGGUGUUUGGGAGUGAAAAAGGAAUAGGAACGUAGCUCUUCGGAGUGUUAUAAUCUAUUUUCAUAGCUCCUCAGGCGCCUCAGGACUGCGCUCGGCAAGGACUUUGGCAUAAUGAUUCUAUACCGCCCGUCUUGAAACACGGACC
rnacentral:rRNA from 1 species